rnacentral:lncRNA from 1 species
AAGUUCCGAAGCACCCCUAAACAGGAAAGGGGGCUCGCCAGCUAGCCGUUGUACCCUCAUGUCUUUCGCAGCUGCAAGUGCUCUUGGAAGAUAGAGUAGAUGGGAAAUAGAUGACUGAAACGGGAUUUCGUGGUGCGACCUCCUCAAGGUCUUUGCAAUGAUUCAGUUGCUUUGGGAUCUUCUGUGCUCCUGCAAAUAACCCUUCAUGCACACUGUAUAUAGCAUUUUAUCACGGCAACAGGAAUGAAGCUAGGACAGAGUCCAGGAUUGUUGAUAGGAUCUUUUCUGGGUCACAUGCUCUGGGACUGGCUGAGCUGAAUGCCCUACACAGGCUUUGGGACUGCAGACCUGGUGAACUGAGAUGAUCUACUCUGUCCUAUCAAAGGAAGAAAAGAGGGAACUCCACAGAGAAGGGCUCAAAGACAUAUGAGACCAUACCACAUCCAGGAAUAGAAAAAGGCACAUGGUCCAUGGGAAUGUGAGAAAUAGAAGCACCAACAGCUCAACUGCCUGCAUAGGAUUAUGCAGCUGAUUGAGAGACAGAACCUGAUGGCAUAAAAGACUGACAUUAAAUAUAGGAGACUGAAUAAUUCCCUUACAUCAGAACCACCGAAUCUAAAAGGCAUGCCACUUUUGCUCGAGCUCAUCAAAAUUCUGGAAGUAGAAAACUAAUGUGAAAAAAAAAAAAAAGCCAGGCUUUGCAAAGAACAAAGUAACCAAAAACAUGUCAGCAAUUUCACCAUCCCAGAUCCAGAUCACAUAAAACCUAAUAGCUAAGUGGUGAAGACAUUUUGAGACGUUCUUUUUAAAAAUCCAUGGAGGUAGCAAGCCAAGACACUCCACAAACAGACAUGACAUAAUGGGAUUAAUUUAUGGAAAUGACAUAUCCGAACAGCACAGCAAUGACAUUCAUAUAAAUCAUUUAAAUCAGUGACCACAAUCUAAAGCUGCACAGAGUUUUUUUUCCAAUGGGAAGGAAGUCUCUGAACACUGAGUUGCAACUGUAUUUGAAUUUCUCCUGCCAAAUCUUUUAUCAAGUACUUAUAGACUCAAAAUGUAAGAUAUUUUAUCUGUGCCAAUAAUGUCCCUGGAGUCAAUAAAGUCAUGCUGAAGUUUCAGAAGGCACAAGACAAGUAAAGCCACCAACAAAAGGCCAGCUGGCUGCCUGAGUCGCACAGAGUGACAUAUCAUGGAUUAUUUUCGCCUUUUUGCCUUGAUCCCUACAUUUUACAUAUUGUAUUUACUAAUAUUAUUUCAUGAAGAGCUUGUAAUUUGCCUCAUGAUUUGAGUUUUCUUGGCUCUGUAUCUCAGGUACAUUUUUCUCCAAACCUGCAGCAUCAAGAUAUCUGACCUAUUGAUCCAGCAGAAAACUUUCCCUGGAAACCAUUUGUGAGAUGUACCUGUGACACAAUGCCUGCCACCAUUGAACCCUGGGCUUCUAAAUAAUUACCUUAAAGACCUUAAGGAUGUCCAAACUUCCAUCCUCCAGACUUCUGGCAAGGCACGUUUGACUUAAAACAGCAUUAGAAAGCUUAUACUUUGUUUUUCCACUAAGAAACUUUUUCCAACAAUGGAUUGUGAAUGUUUAUUUCUUUCAAACUAUUCUUUGUUUAUAGACAAAAUUACUGAGAAGUUUCUGUAAUAAACUGAAAAUUACUUC